rnacentral:rRNA from 1 species
CCUACGGGGGGCAGCAGUGAGGAAUAUUGGUCAAUGGACGCGAGUCUGAACCAGCCAAGUAGCGUGAAGGAUGACUGCCCUAUGAGUUGUAAACUUCUUUUAUAAAGGAAUAAAACGAGGCACGUGUGCCUUUUUGCAUGUACUUUAUGAAUAAGGAUCGGCUAACUCCGUGCCAGCAGCCGCGGUAAUACGGAGGAUCCGAGCGUUAUCCGGAUUUAUUGGGUUUAAAGGGAGCGUAGAUGGGUUGUUAAGUCAGUUGUGAAAGUUUGAGGCUCAACCGUAAAAUUGCAAUUGAUACUGGCAGUCUUGAGUACAGUUGAGGUAGGCGGAAUGCGUGGUGUAGCGGUGAAAUGCUUAGAUAUCACGAAGAACCCCGAUUGCGAAGGCAGCUUACUAAACUGCGACUGACAUUGAUGCUCGAAAGUGUGGGUAGCAAACAGGAUUAGAUACCCGGGUAGUC